UACGUAGGGUGCGAGCGUUAAUCGGAAUUACUGGGCGUAAAGCGUGCGCAGGCGGUUUUGUAAGCCAGAUGUGAAAUCCCCGGGCUUAACCUGGGAAUGGCAUUUGGGACUGCAAGGCUGGAGCUUGGCAGAGGAGACUGGAAUUCCCGGUGUAGCAGUGAAAUGCGUAGAUAUCGUGAGGAAGACCAGUGGCGAAGGCGGGUCUCUGGACAGUUCCUGACGCUGAGGCGCGAAGGCCAGGGGAGCAAACGGG
rnacentral:rRNA from 1 species